rnacentral:RNase_P_RNA from 1 species
CCUGGUCGAGCGGUCGCCGGUGCCUUUUGGCACGGGAGGAAAGUCCGAGCCCCACAGAGCAGGAUAACGGCUAACGGCCGCCAGGGGUGACCCUCGGGAAAGUGCAACAGAGAUAUACCGCCUAAGCAGGCUUUGCCUGCCGGCAAGGGUGGAAAGGCGGGGUAAGAGCCCACCAGCGUAAUGGUAACAUUACGGCUAUGUAAACCCUAUCCGGAGCAACACCGACUUGAAGUGGCUUGCUCGGCCCAUACUUCAGAAGGGUGGCUUGAACGGAGCAGCAAUGUUUCGUCUAGAAAGAUGAUCGCUUUAGAUGACAGAACUCGGCUUAUACGCCAGGUC